AUGGUUCGGUAUUGCUUGAUGGAUCGGCGAGUGGUCCAAGCGAGCAGGACGCCCCUCCCAACCUGACCUUGAGAGCAAAGGCGUUUGAGAUCAUCGAAGACCUACGCCGGCGCGUGGAAAAGGCUUGCGGCCUUGUCGUCUCCUGUUCUGAUAUUCUUGCGCUUGCAGCCCGUGACUCUGUUUACCUGGUGAGUCGACUUGAAUCACUCUCUGUUAUCGUAGUUUUUGAUAAUGAUCCUAGCUAGCUAGCAUGGAGCACAUGAUUUAAUACCAUCUCCUGUAUCGUUAGAUACACAUCCGUAUAUAGUCCAGCCAUAUUCUUGAGAGUCGAGUCUAAAUCGAGAUUUUUUUUUUGAAAAAUAGCUUUUUUCCAUAUUUUUUUUUGAAAAAGUAGAGUAAUUGAUUUUUUUCCCCAAAAAAUAGCACACUUAAUAAAUUAAUUUGAAAACAAUGUAAUUAAUUAUCUUUCUUUAGGAAAUAUAGGAAUGAGAUUUGGGUUCAUUGAUUUUAAUAAUAUUAUUAAAAAUUAGCCUAGUUAUGGCUCUUGUUAGAUGUCAAGUAACUUAUUUUUAUAACAUAAAAAUAAUAUAUUGAGAAAUUAAACGUUCAGUAUAAAGCUUAGAUUUUUAAAAUAAAAUUGAAUUUUAAUUAUCCAAAUUUAUUAUGGUAUUUCAGGAAUAAGUGUUAAAUAAUUAAUUGCACAUGAAAUAAUUACAAAUAGAAGAUUACGAGUAAGUCAAGUCUUUCUGUCCCCCAUAUAAUAUAUGUCCUGCAACUAGGGGCAUAAAAUGUGACUGAUAAGACCAGAUAAGCUUAUCCAAUGUUAUUUUCAGAGCUUAGAUAUCCGCCUGUCGAUUUCUAUCCAGUUAGUUGAUCAGUGAUUGCGAGAGGCAAAUUAAUUCCUCAUAAUCUUUUAAAAUCCUAUUAAUUCUCGUUUGGUUCUGUAUUUUAAAAACAUUUUUAAAAUUUUUUUUUUUUUUUUAUUUUAAAUUAAUAUUUUUUUAGUAUUUUCCGUUUAUUUUGAUGGAUUGAUGUUAAAAAUAAUUUUUAACAAAUAAAAAUAAUAAUUUUUUAAUACUUUUUUAAGUGAAAAACAAUCAUACUCUCAAACACACUAAAUAUUAUAAUUAGUAGCGAUUGUUUAUUUAAAUAUUUUUUACUUAAAAAUAUAUUAAAAUAAUAUUUUUUUAAAUUUAUUUUGACUUUAAUAUUAAUAUAUUAAAAUAAUCUAAAAAUACUUAAAAAAAAAUACUCUUUCCCAGCAAAAUUAUUAUUAUGACUUUCUUGUGACUUGUCAUGAUCAUUAAACACAUAUAAAGGGUGUGUAUAUGCAUGCCUCCUUGAGUUCUGCUUUUUUAUUUUCAAAUUAAGUUUUAGAUAUUUUUAUGUUGAUAAUAAUUUUUUUAUUCUUUUUUUUUUUAAAAAAACAUUUUGUAUCACAUUCUCCGUGUGUGUGUAAUGAAUCAAUAAAAUUUCUUUCGGUAACAAGUCAUUACUCAUAACCAAAGCUAAUCCUUUUUAACUUCUAUGCAUUUUUUCUACUGCAGUCUGGUGGCCCAGAUUAUAAUGUUCCCUUGGGAAGGCGAGACGGUCUAAAAUUUGCAACUCAAAAUGAAACCUUAGACAACCUCCCGCCACCCUUUGCUAACGCCGACACAAUUCUCUCAUCUCUCGCCACCAAGGGCUUCGAUGCCACCGACGUGGUAGCCCUGUCCGGUGGCCACACCAUUGGUAUAAGUCACUGCAGCUCUUUCACUGACCGCCUCUAUCCAACCCAAGAUCCUACAAUGGACAAAACCUUUGCCAACAAUCUCAAGGAAGUUUGCCCCACAAGAGACUUCAAUAACACAACCGUGUUGGAUAUUCGAUCUCCUAAUAAAUUUGACAACAAGUACUAUGUUGAUCUCAUGAAUCGCCAAGGC
rnacentral:lncRNA from 1 species